UACAGAGGUCUCGAGCGUUGUUCGGAUUCAUUGGGCGUAAAGGGCGCGUAGGCGGCGGGGUAAGUCUGGUGUGAAAUCUCGGAGCUCAACUCCGAAAUUGCACUGGAUACUGCUCUGCUAGAGGGCUGGAGAGGAGAUCGGAAUUCACGGUGUAGCAGUGAAAUGCGUAGAUAUCAUGAGGAAGACCAGUGGCGAAGGCGGAUCUCUGGACAGCUCCUGACGCUGAGGCGCGAAGGCUAGGGGAGCAAACGGG
rnacentral:rRNA from 1 species